UGGGGAAUAUUGGACAAUGGGCGAAAGCCUGAUCCAGCCAUGCCGCGUGUGUGAAGAAGGUCUUCGGAUUGUAAAGCACUUUAAGUUGGGAGGAAGGGCAUUAACCUAAUACGUUAGUGUUUUGACGUUACCGACAGAAUAAGCACCGGCUAACUCUGUGCCAGCAGCCGCGGUAAUACAGAGGGUGCAAGCGUUAAUCGGAAUUACUGGGCGUAAAGCGCGCGUAGGUGGUUUGUUAAGUUGGAUGUGAAAUCCCCGGGCUCAACCUGGGAACUGCAUUCAAAACUGACUGACUAGAGUAUGGUUGAGGGUGGUGGAAUUUCCUGUGUAGCGGUGAAAUGCGUAGAUAUAGGAAGGAACACCAGUGGCGAAGGCGACCACCUGGACUAAUACUGACACUGAGGUGCGAAAGCGUUGGGAGCAAACA
rnacentral:rRNA from 1 species